rnacentral:rRNA from 1 species
AAAAUUUUUGAUCCCAGGCUGGUAAAAAAUGUAAACUUUUAGCCAAAAGAAUAGAAACAGAUGCCAGGCCAAUAACCCAAAAUUAGAGCUACGACGCUAUCGA